GACGAACGCUGGCGGCGUGCUUAACACAUGCAAGUCGAACGGAAAGGCCCUGCUUGCCGGGUACUCGAGUGGCGAACGGGUGAGUAACACGUGGGUGAUCUGCCCUGCACUUCGGGAUAAGCCUGGGAAACUGGGUCUAAUACCGGAUAGGAGCCAUUUUUAGUGUGAUGGUUGGAAAGUUUUUUCGGUGUAGGAUGAGCUCGCGGCCUAUCAGCUUGUUGGUGGGGUAAUGGCCUACCAAGGCGGCGACGGGUAGCCGGCCUGAGAGGGUGGACGGCCACAGUGGGACUUAGAUACGGCCCAGACUCCCACGGGAGGCAGCAGUGGGGAAUAUUUCACAAGGGGCGCAAGCCUUAUGCAGCGACGCCGCGGGGGGGAUGACGGCCUUCGGGUUGUAAACGCCUUUCGCUAGGGACGAAGCUUUUUGUGACGGUACCUAGAUAAGAAGCACCGGCUAACUACGUG
rnacentral:rRNA from 1 species